UGAGGACCAUAGGAUGUGAGA
rnacentral:piRNA from 1 species